UACGAAGGGGGCUAGCGUUGCUCGGCAUCACUGGGUGUAAAGCGCACGUAGGCGGCUUCUUAAGUCAGGGGUGAAAUCCUGGGGCUCAACCCCAGAACUGCCCUUGAUACUGAGGAGCUUGAGUCCGGGAGAGGUGAGUGGAACUCCGAGUGUAGAGGUGAAAUUCGUAGAUAUUCGGAAGAACACCAGUGGCGAAGGCGGCUCACUGGCCCGGUACUGGCGCUGAGGUGCGAAAGCGUGGGGAGCAAACAGG
rnacentral:rRNA from 1 species